GUAAACGGCGGCCGUAACUAUAACGGUCCUAAGGUAGCGAAAUUCCUUGUCGGGUAAGUUCCGACCUGCACGAAUGGCGUAACGACUUCCCCGCUGUCUCCAGCAUAGACUCAGUGAAAUUGAAUUCCCCGUGAAGAUGCGGGGUUCCUGCGGUUAGACGGAAAGACCCCGUGCACCUUUACUAUAGCUUUACAUUGGCAUUCGUAGUGGCAUGUGUAGGAUAGGUGGUAGGCUUUGAAGCCUGGGCGCCAGCUCAGGUGGAGCCACCCUUGAAAUACCACCCUUAUCACUAUGGAUGUCUAACCGCGGCCCGUUAUCCGGGUCCGGGACAAUGUAUGGUGGGUAGUUUGACUGGGGCGGUCGCCUCCUAAAGAGUAACGGAGG
rnacentral:rRNA from 1 species